GUAAUAUAUAGAUAACGUGCCUCUUAGUCUGGGAUAGCCAUUGGAAACGAUGAUUAAUACCGGAUACUCCUUCUAACUCUAAUGUUAGUCGGGAAAGUUUUUCGCUAAGAGAUCGGUCUAUAUCCCAUCAGUUAGUUGGUAAGGUAACGGCUUACCAAGGCAAUGACGGGUAGCGGGUUUGAGAGGAUGAUCCGCCACACUGGUACUGAGACACGGACCAGACUCCUACGGGAGGCAGCAGUGAGGAAUAUUGCACAAUGGGGGAAACCCUGAUGCAGCAACGCCGCGUGGAGGAUGACGCAUUUCGGUGUGUAAACUCCUUUUAUGAGUCAAGAAAAUGACGGUAGCUCAUGAAUAAGCACCGGCUAACUCCGUGCCAGCAGCCGCGGUAAUACGGAGGGUGCAAGCGUUACUCGGAAUCACUGGGCGUAAAGGACGCGUAGGCGGGAUGCCAAGUCUGAUGUGAAAUCCUAUGGCUUAACCAUAGAACUGCAUUGGAAACUGGUAACCUAGAGUAUGGGAGGGGGAGAUGGAAUUAGUGGUGUAGGGGUAAAAUCCGUAGAUAUCACUAGGAAUACCGAAAGCGAAGGCGAUCUCCUGGAACAUAACUGACGCUAAGGCGUGAAAGCGUGGGGAGCAAACGGGAUUAGAUACCCCGGUAGUCCACGCCCUAAACGAUGAACACUAGUCGUCGCUCUGCUUGUCAGGGCGGUGAUGCAUUUAACAGAUUAAGUGUUCCGCCUGGGGAGUACGGUCGCAAGAUUAAAACUCAAAGGAAUAGACGGGGACCCGCACAAGUGGUGGAGCAUGUGGUUUAAUUCGAAGAUACGCGAAGAACCUUACCUAGCCUUGACAUUGAUAGAAUACCCUAGAGAUAGAGUAGUGCCUUUCGGGGAACUUGAAAACAGGUGCUGCACGGCUGUCGUCAGCUCGUGUCGUGAGAUGUUGGGUUAAGUCCCGCAACGAGCGC
rnacentral:rRNA from 1 species